rnacentral:lncRNA from 1 species
GCUUGUCGUAGCAUAUUUUCAUCAGCAUGGCUGCACCUUUUUGCUACACCAUGGAGACCGUAGCAAAUAAUUCAAUUAUAUGUUGCACUUUUCAUUACUAAUUAGGUGUCUAGGUUACUACCCAUAAAUAAACAUAUAAAUUCAUAAUACUUAGAGAUUAAAUUCUGAUAGGUAAGAGACCCAAUAGUGACAAAUCGUCAAUCCUUACUUCUACAAACUAAUCUUUUAUUCAAAAAAAAUAAAACUAACUAAUCUACAUUUUCUCAAGUAUAAGCAUACUAUAUUAGGCGAACACAUCACCAACAUCUCUUGCUCACCAGUAGCAUCUCUUGUUCUCCAAGAUCAUGCCCGAGACAUCCACAAAAACUAAUCAUAGCAUGUCUCUUGUUCACAGCUAAAUUUCCACCGUACUACACCUACAAAAAAGAACAAGAGGGAACAACCAUAUAACAGACCACCAUUACGAUUACAAUAACAAACAACACAACUGAAAAAUCCCAACAUUUACUGAAGUUUCCAGUUAUCAAGAAUGGAGAAACAAGCAAACAAAGCAAAGUUGGAGUAUACCUCUCAAAAUCAGACAAGGUAACUCAAUUUCAACUUCCCCGUCUUCUUAUCUUCAUGUUAAGUAUCAAGCAAACACACUGUUUCUGGAAAAGACGGAGAAAUUUAGAUGCAGGUGAAAAUUAUCAAGUGAUUGAGUAGGAUAUAUAAGAGUGAAGGAUGGGAUGUCAUGCCAAGUUAUGUUUAAUAAUGGUAUGACCAACUGUUCAUGGUGUCCUGUUUAAGUCUAGAUCAGAGUGGUUCCUAAUAGAAUUAAAGAAUGGAGUUAUAUUUUUCACUGCAUUCCAUAUAUAAGCCCAUUCGAGUUCCUAGAAGCUGCUCUAACAGAAAGAGGAAACUCAAAUACUGAUUAGAUUAAGAACAUCCUCAUCACUUCAGUAAAGCAAUAGCAGGAUAUGCACAAUAUGGCCACUGAUAGACACGUAGAUGGAUGAAUGACCCCUUAGCAGCUACAAAUAACCAGAUAUAUAAGCAAUUUGGGAAAGUCAAUCGAAACCGGAGACAAGGCCAUUUUCACAUACGUAACCUCGGACGACAGGCCUGCCAUUAUUGUGGUAGCCAUAAACUCUCCUCAAGCAGAAAGCAAGACAUAAGAGUGAUAAUUGAACAAACCGCAAGCAUUCACAUAAGUAAUGUCAUGAAAUCUAAUUCAAUCAUCAUCCUUCAUCAUCUAAACCAUUAAUUAGAGGAAAAUAAUAAAGAGAGGCACUGACCGCCUCAUUUAUCAUUGCAUAAUCCAAGCAACAAUCCAGGGAAUUCUCAGAUCGAUCAAAGGAACAUAAGGUUGGAACUGAUUUGCCCUAAACUGGCGAAAAAGACUUAACUGGUUCUCUUCGUUACACUUUGAUUAGCAGCACCUGCGGUGACACUGGUGAAUCGACAACAAUAGUAGCAACUGGAAAUGAAUACAACAAUGAUCGAGCACAUAUCUAACAGGAAAAAAUCAUAAGACCUAAGCCCUAAUUUACCUUCAUGAGUCAACUACAAUAGUAGCAACUGGAAAUGAAUACAACAUUGCUCGUUCUUUGCAUUCGCCACUACGCCCGAUCCGACUUCUCCUCGCCCCCUGUGUCAUUAAAUCAAUUGGGUGAGUCAAAUUUCAACAUCGCUGCCUCUUUCCACUGGCCAGAGCCGGCGCAAACGGAAGCUGACCCGCUUCUAGUAGUCGAGCCACUGCCGCUCAAUAUUCGCUGGUUGGCAACAAAGAUUGAGGGAAGAUAAAUUACUUAUUAGGCGAAGAACGAGUUUGUGGAGAGGGGUUUUCGGUAAGGAAGAGGAUUUGGGAGAAGUCGGCAGAGCUACGUUUUCUUUCUAUUACAACAUUAAGAUUAAAAAAGCAAAGGAGAGUUACUGUUGCUUACUGUUCACGUGAAUAGUAAGUCCCCUUCUAAUGUAACCAUUCUUUCUUUAAUUUUA